GUGCAGCAGGCGCGAAACCUCCGCAAUGCGGGAAACCGUGACGGGGUCACCCCGAGCGCCGCCCGAUGAGGGUGGCUUUUCCCCGGUCUAAAAAGCCGGGGGCAAUAAGCGGGGGGCAAGUCUGGUGUCAGCCGCCGCGGUAAUACCAGCCCCGCGAGUGGUCGGGACGUUUAUUGGGCCUAAAGCGUCCGUAGCCGGCUCGGUAAGUCCCUCCUUAAAUCCACGGGCUCAACCCGUGGGCUGGGAGGGAUACUGCCGGGCUAGGGGGCGGGAGAGGCCGAGGGGUACUCCCGGGGUAGGGGCCGAAAUCCGUUAAUCCCGGGAGGACCACCAGUGGCGAAGGCGCUCGGCUGGAACGCGCCCGACGGUGAGGGACGAAAGCUGGGGGAGC
rnacentral:rRNA from 1 species